CCCUCACCUUAAGAAAUAGAAAACAAGUUGAGAAAGAGAAAACAAAUUUUGAGAAAUUAACAACAAAAGAGAAGGAAGGUCUGGGAAUUAAAAAUCUAAAGGAAUUCAAUCAUGCACUGCUCGCCAUAUGUUUCCCGAAGCAUCGUAAUCAUAAGGAUGUUUUUUUUUCUUUUCUUUUCUUUUCGUUUCUUUUUUUAAAACUUUUGAGGAUGCCUUAAGGGAGCAGGUUCUC
rnacentral:lncRNA from 1 species